CCUACGGGGGGCUGCAGUAACGAAUAUUGGGCAAUGGGCGAAAGCCUGACCCAGCGACGCCGCGUGUAGGAUGAAGUCCUUCGGGAUGUAAACUACUGUCAGGGACUAGAAAGUUUCGAUUGAUCGGUCCCAGAGGAAGUCACGGCUAACUUCGUGCCAGCAGCCGCGGUAAUACGAAGGUGGCAAGCGUUGUUCGGAAUCACUGGGCUUAAAGGGCGCGUAGGCGGAUCAGAAAGUGUCUUGUGAAAUACCCCGGCUUAACCGGGGAAUGGCUCGGCAAACUACUGGUCUUGAGGCAAGUAGGGGUGUGUGGAACUCUUGGUGGAGCGGUGGAAUGCGUAGAUAUCAAGAGGAACGCCGAAGGUGAAGACAGCACACUGGACUUGCCCUGACGCUGAGGCGCGAAAGCGUGGGGAGCAAACAGGAUUAGAUACCCCGGUAGUC
rnacentral:rRNA from 1 species